ACGGGAGGCAGCAGUGGGGAAUAUUGCACAAUGGGGGAAACCCUGAUGCAGCGACGCCGCGUGAGUGAAGAAGUAUUUCGGUAUGUAAAGCUCUAUCAGCAGGGAAGAAAAUGACGGUACCUGACUAAGAAGCACCGGCUAAAUACGUGCCAGCAGCCGCGGUAAUACGUAUGGUGCAAGCGUUAUCCGGAUUUACUGGGUGUAAAGGGAGCGUAGACGGCGAGGCAAGUCUGAAGUGAAAUGCGGGGGCUCAACCCCUGAACUGCUUUGGAAACUGUUUUGCUAGAGUGCAGGAGAGGUAAGUGGAAUUCCUAGUGUAGCGGUGAAAUGCGUAGAUAUUAGGAGGAACACCGGCGGCGAAGGCGGCUUACUGGACUGUAACUGACGUUGAGGCUCGAAAGCGUGGGGAGCAAACAGGAUUAGAUACCCUGGUA
rnacentral:rRNA from 1 species